GGGUGGAAUGGGGAGACUGAAAAUCUUUGGAUUAAUGUGAACUUUAAUACUGAAGCAGUGUGUGUUUACUGCUGGUGACCACAAGACAUAAAUCUUGCGAGCACAAUGUACAAUGUGAGGCAGCCCCCAGGUUUUUUUUUUUUUUUUCAGCCUCAAUUUGUGUGCAAGUGUGUGUUAAGUGCCGUUGAAAAAUAGUGACCUUUAAUAAAGGAUCGUAUCCUGAGACUAUUUUCCCAGACACACGGUGACCUUUCAAACCAGACUGGGGUGAGGGGGUGUGGGCUUUGGACUUUGAACCGGCCAGUUCCCGCUGCGUGCCUCUGUUUGCCAGGCUACUUUUUAUUGUGUCGCCAGGGAGCGUUCGGUAUGCAAAGCAGGCUGAGCUGCCAGCCUCAACCUUUGCAAAUCAAUUUGUCUGUGCAGCCGAGUCCGCUGGAGUGAAAGAUGCUGCGGCAGGACAAACUGCACCUCUUUGUGCCACUGGCGCUUGUGGCACUGCCGUCAUAAUCAGCACCGCCAAGAAUGGCGUUUCGAGCGUGCUGCAAGGGAAGAUCAUAAGCUGCAAAGGGAAAGUUCACUCUUGUCCUGAUGCUUUCAUGCUCUACCUGUGACUUGUACUGUGCCUACUGGUGAAUCUGUAGGUGCUUUUUUCUUUAUCAGUGAAAGCCAAGGCCUGCCAGGG
rnacentral:lncRNA from 1 species